GAUGAACGCUGGCGGCGUGCUUAACACAUGCAAGUCGAACGGAAAGGCCCUGCUUUUGUGUGGUUCUUGUUUGGCGAACGGGUGAGUGACACGUGAGUAACCUGCCCUUGACUGUCGGAUAACUUCAGGAAACUGGGGCUAAUACCGGGUAUGAUCUCCUGCAGCACGGUGGUGGUUGGAGAGUGUCGGCGGUUGGGGCUGGACUGGAGGCUUAUCAGCUUGUUUGUGGGGUAGUGGUGGACCAAGGCUUCGACGGGUAGCCGGCCUGGGAGGUUGGACGGCCACAUUGGGCCUGCGGUACGCCGCAGAAUCCUACGGGAGGCAGCAGGGGGGAAUAUUGCGCAACGGGCGGACGCGUGAUGCAGAAACGUCGCGUGCGGGAUGCCGGCCUUUGGGUUGAAAACCUCUUUGGCAUGUGCCGUAGAGUGAGUGACGGUAAUGGGUAAAGAAGCACCGGCUAACUACGUG
rnacentral:rRNA from 1 species